ensembl:lncRNA
CCUUAUUUAUGAAGUAUAAAAACAAAAAGGUCCCUUGUCCUUGACAUUAGAAUUAGACAAAUAACUAAGAAACUGCCAUUCAAACAAAAACACAAACUACACAUCUCAGUAAAACCAAGUAUUUUCCAAGUAAGGAUGCAUUCACAAUGAAUCACUUAACAGGAGAAAAAUCGGAUUGGACAGACAGGAAAAAAUAGCUCACAUUCCAAUCAUAAUGUUACAUGGAAACAUACAGAGAUCGGUUUCUCAUGGCAAAAAGACAGUUAUGUGAUUUAGUUCAUAAAUUAAUGCCUUAUCUCAGAGAUGAUCAUGGGGUUGUUUACACUCACCACACCAUGCACAUCAAAGGACCAAAAACAUGGUGUUCACACUGACACACCAUGCACAUCAAAGGACCAAAAACAUGGUGUUCACACUGACACACCAUGCAUAUCAAUGGACCAAAAACACAGUUUUCACAGUGACCACACCAUACACAUCAAUGGACCAAACAUGUUGUUCAAAGUGACCACACCAUGCAUGUCAAUGGACCAAACACAUGUUGUUCACAGUGACCACACCAUGCAUGUCAAUGGACCAAACACAUGUUGUUCACAGUGACCACACCAUGCAUGUCAAUGGACCAAACACAUGGUUUUCACAGUGACGGCUAGGCUACAUGUGUCGUUGUAGUAACUAAAAGAUUAAGCAGUAAUGUCAUUCUUUAGAUGUAUGGUUAGACCCAUUCCAAAUUGAGGGAAACGACCUACCGUGAACCUCAAGCUACAACAGGGUUUCCUAACCCCCUCCAACAGCUCUUUAUUCCACAGAUACAUCGCUAAUAUAAUUUGCAUAGAAGGAACGAACACAUCUGCUCAUUUACAGUGGUUCUUCUGCAUUUUUUGGAUGGUUGCCUAAAGAGGCCGCUCAACAAGCGUCUCAGUGAACCUAUUUCCACUCUUUAGUCGGUGGGCGCUGUGUAGUCGAGAUACUUUCAUUCACACAUCAACAUGAUAGUAGUCACGGAUACAUCCAAGUAAAUGCCAAAAGAAAAUGUUUAACAAACAGCAAAGCAGCAACCACUCUCAUUUGUUUCAUUUAUUUGACGUGAUUAAAUAAGCAGAAGUUGGCUAGCAAGGGACAAGGGUCUCAUCGUCAGUCUUCACAGAACCUACAAAUAGUCUUUUUACAUAUCAGUGAUGCAAAAAGAUGACUGAGCCUGUGGCAGCAUGACAAGAGAAAAGCGGUUUCAGGUUUACUUUGAGAUUUGUCCCAAAAUUGUUAUCCACCCAAAAAGGGCUGGUCAGCAAAUAGGGCUGGUCAGCUCUAUUUAUAAGCUAAGAAUUAACGUGGCACACCUAAUUCAAUUACUCAACUAAAUGUCAAGCACUUGACUAAUUGAUUAAGGUAUGCCAGUUUAGGGUUACAUUAAAAAAAGUAAAACAUCUGUGGGCCAGAGGAGAGGGUCAGGAAAUCCCUGGUCUACUCAGAGAUCUGUUGAACCUCUAUCAAAAAAAACAACAAAGAAUAAUCACAAGGGCAAAAAAAAGAUUAAUCAAAAGUGCAAAGGUUGAUAUUAAAGCUGAUUUGCAUGUUAAAAACUUGGAUAUUUAGGCGUUUCGAAGAGUGGUACGGUACUAUUCACAAAGACAAGUUCCAGAAAACCACACCCCAGAAAAUGUGUGGGAUGCAUCUCCACAAUCAGUAAAAUUGGAUGUGGAGGGAGAAAGGAGAACAGAGCCCAUGGACCAAUGGCUCAUUAGCACUCAGGUCUGACCAUGCAUAGGACACCUGGCUACAGGUUACCGGAACCAGCCAAGCGAGGUUGGUUUGGAUUAAAACAGCCUUCUACAACUGAGGAUGCACAUUGCAGCUCAACGAGCGGCACAAAAACGUUCUUUAAAACGAGUCUGACCUAAAACAACAGGAAAGAGCGAUGCAGAGUUGAGCGUUUUCUUUCUGGAACAGAGCACAUAUACUGUACAUCACACUAGACUCCCAGCUCCCAGCGGGGACUUCAAUAUAGAACACAUCCCUUCUUCCCCUCCUCCUCUCCCUCGCUUCCUGUCCCCUGCACCCUCCUCUGCGGCUGUGUUCUGAC